rnacentral:lncRNA from 1 species
UUUGUCUGAGUACUGAUGAUGCUUGAUUGAUUUCAGGUACAUUUAGUCGCUUACAGUUCUUUAAGAACUUGCUUGCUGCUGCUUGGUUUUUUAAACCAGUUGAGGUAGACUCUCUUGUCUCCAUGUAGUCUGGAAGACCUGGCUUGUUAUUUAGCCAGGCAACUGUCUGAAGUCCUCCUUAAGAGGCGAUGUUUGUGAUUGUUUACUUUUGUGCCAAGCAGGUAAAGACCUCUAUGAGGCAAUUGGCGGAACCCAAG